rnacentral:rRNA from 1 species
GGAAUUUUCCGCAAUGGGCGAAAGCCUGACGGAGCAACGCCGCGUGAGGGAUGAAGGCCUCUGGGCUGUAAACCUCUUUUAUCAAGGAAGAAGAUCUGACGGUACUUGAUGAAUAAGCCACGGCUAAUUCCGUGCCAGCAGCCGCGGUAAUACGGGAGUGGCAAGCGUUAUCCGGAAUUAUUGGGCGCAAAGCGUCCGCAGGCGGUCUUUUAAGUCUGCUGUUAAAGCGUGGAGCUUAACUCCAUUUCGGCAGUGGAAACUGGAAGACUAGAGUGUGGUAGGGGCAGAGGGAAUUCCCGGUGUAGCGGUGAAAUGCGUAGAUAUCGGGAAGAACACCAGUGGCGAAGGCGCUCUGCUGGGCCAUAACUGACGCUCAUGGACGAAAGCCAGGGGAGCGAAAGGGAUUAGAUACCCCAGUAGUC